rnacentral:misc_RNA from 1 species
UUCAGUUCAGUUUUGAGUUUAGUUUGGUUAUAGGCAGCUUGUUUACUAGAUUUAAGUUUAUUUUAUAAAGUUGUGUAUUGCAUUUGACCAAGUUUUAAAUAAAAAUGUAUUGAUUUAUAAGUGAAUAAGCUUUCUCAAGUGAAAAUGGAGAAAAUAAACUGUAGUUUGCUUUUGAUAUCCCUCUGUGCAUUGUUAUGGGGUGUGGCCGGCCAAUACGAAUGGCAAUUGAGGGAUGCUUUCGAUGAAAUUAGAGGCAGAAUGGACAGGGUUUCCGCAGACAACUGCUACAUUACACAUCUGGAUGAUUUGUUUCUUCCACCAGACUCGGUUUCGCAUCAUCCUGAUGUAAAAGAGAUCAACAUUAACCCUGUCUUUCUGAACCGAACGGCGAUGCUUCAUUUACAUAACAUGGCAAUGAAUCGAGCAUUUUUCUGGAGCUAUAUCCUACAGUCCAGGUUCAUUCGACCGGCUAUCAAUGAUACAUACGACCCCGGCAUGAUGUAUUACUUUCUUUCAUCGGUGGCAGAUGUUUCUGCAAAUCCUUACAUAAACGCCAGCUCUAUCUACUUCUCUCCGAACAUGUCAUACACGUCUUCAUACAGAGGAUUCUUCAAUAAGACAAUGCCCCGGUUUGCUCCUAGAGCCUACAGAUCUGAUGACUUUAAUGAUCCUGUGCAUCUACAGAAGAUAUCAACAAUGAAUACAUUUAUUGCUGAAGAUCUGGGAGCAUUUGAUCCAGAGGCUAAGUCUAAGGACUACACAUCUGAUUUUUACCGAACAAAUGAAUGGUACAGUAAGUGGCUUCCUGAUAGAGUUGGAGAUCGCCAUGACACAAAAACCACCUACCAGGUUGAAAUAAGAUAUGCAAAUAACACUAAUGAAACAUUUACAUUCCAUGGACCACCUGGCAAUGAUGAGGUUCCAGGCCCCGUCAACUGGACGCGCCCUUACUUCGACUGUGGAAGACUUAACAAGUGGCUGGUGGCUGCUGUUUCACCAGUUGCUGAUAUCUUCCCCCGCCAUACCCAAUUCAGACACAUUGAAUAUCCCAAAUACACAGCUGCUGUAGUGAUGGAGAUGGACUUUGACAGGAUAGAUAUAAACCAAUGUCCCGAGAGUCAGGGCAAUGAUAAGCCAAAUCGGUUCAAAGCUACAGCAAGAUGCAAAAAUGAAACAACAGAGUGUGAGCCCAUUCACGGCUGGGGUUUCCGCCGGGGCGGCUACCAGUGCCGCUGCAAGCCCGGCUACCGUCUGCCGAGCAUCGUCCGCCGCCCGUAUCUCGGCGAGAUCGUCGAACGAGCCACCUCCGACCAGUAUUUCAACAAUUUUGACUGUCUGCCUAUUGGAUGGAUCCAGCGCCUGCCUGUGAAAUGGGAGCGUUCGCUGCCGUUCCUCCGCGCCAUGUACCUGGACAAGUACUACGAGUAUGUGAACGCGAGCUCCGGUCCGACCGCCCUGCACACGGAGCGCCCCAACGUGUAUGAGGUGCUCAACUUCAUACGGGGCGUGCAGCCUCACAACUGCUCAUUAUACAACCCAUCUGAUCUCUUCCUGAACGGCGACAUUGCUUUCGGUGCAGAAGAACAAUUUGCGAACCAGGCCAAGAUGGCUGUCCGUAUGGCUAACUUCAUCAGCGCCUUCCUGCAGGUAUCGGACCCGCGGGAGGUGUUCAGCGGCACGCGCGUCGCCGACAAGCCGCUCACUGAGGACCAGAUGAUCGGCGAAACCUUGGCUCUCGUUCUUGGAGACUCCAAGAUUUGGUCCGCCGGAAUAUUCUGGGACAGAAAUAAAUUUACAAACAGGACCUUCUUUGCGCCGUUUGCUUACAAGACUGAACUCAACACUAGGAAAUACAAACUGGAGGAUCUCGCAAGACUCAAUACUACAGAGGAACUCUACACGAACCAACCAUGGUUCCAAUUCCUGAAGCAACGCUGGUCGACCAGCUUCGACGAUUUGGAAAAGUUCUUCCUCAAAAUGAAAAUCCGUGACGACGAGUUCGGGAAAUACUUGAAACACUACGAGAGAUAUCCAACUUCUUACAUGGCCGCUAACUUGAAACAUGGCCACUGGACGACGCCCUACUUUGACUGUAAAGGCCAUUUGAAACAGUGGGUUACGACGUAUGCCGCGCCGUUCUUCGGAUGGGACAGUGUUAAAGUGAAAUUGGAAUUUAAGGGUGUAGUGGCAGUAACAAUGCAGCUAAUGUCCUUGGACAUCAACCAGUGCCCUGAUAAGUAUUACGUGCCCAACGCCUUCAAGGGGACCGAUAAAUGUGACCGGCUAUCUUCUUAUUGUGUACCAAUCCUGGGUCGCGGCUUCGAAGCCGGCGGCUACAAGUGCGAAUGCCUCCAAGGCUACGAGUACCCGUUCGAAGACGAGAUCACCUACUACGACGGGCAGAUCAUGGAAGCAGAGUUCCAGAACAUUAUCGAGGACAAGAAGACUCGCAUAGACAUGUUUAAGUGCAGGCUUGCGGGCGCGGCCGCCAUACAGAGCAGCUUCGCUGUGCUGCUGGCCGUCUUAUAUUUAGUUUAUAAGCUUAGGUAAAACAUGCACUGAGUAAAGGACACUUGCGGCGGCAAAAUAAAAGCCACUGGGAUAAUCCAGUGGUUGAAGAUGGGUGAAUCAAGUUUUUCUUGCCUAUUAUUGCCAUGGUUACGGUCCCCUGAGUCACGCCGGUUUUAUGCAAAAUUAUGCUACUGAAAUUAUUCAAGCAUGCAUGUAGUCCAUGUUUGUAGGUGACAAAUUAAGGAAAGGGCUUGUUAACACCAGAAAAAUGCAUGUUUUCAUAGUUUAAGUAGCAUAAUUUUGCAUAAAACCAGCGUGAAUCAGGGGACCGUAACCCAUGGCAAUAACAGGCAAGAAAAAGUUCAUUCACCCAGAUAUAUUUUUACUGCAUAGCACAUCUGCAAGUUUAACAUUUAAUCGUUACUCCAUAACCUAUCAAGGUUAUUCGAAAUAGAUAUGAAACAUGGUAUGGCGCCUUUUCUAACCUUUUAUAGGGCCUACAGUUUAAGAACCCCUGGGUUAACACCUUAAAAAUGUGCAAAACUUUCGUAGAGUAAAGCACAGGUAUGCUGCCGUAGAACGGAUCUUCAUUUUAAUUAAAAUAUACAAAAAUGUGCGCCGUAGUGAGCUGAUGAUUUUAAAUUAUGCGUGACUUAUGACAUGGAGUUGCAAUCUCGACCGGAAAAUGCCUUAAUAUACGCCAUAAGGUGUAAAUACGUAGUUACAUUUUCAUUUAUAUCCAAAGCUAUAAAUUAUCUGAUAAUUACACAAUUGUAUCUUAUGUUUACAAGUUAUUAGUUUAGAAUUUUUCACAUUUACAAUCUAUCAGAUUUUCUGAUAAGCAUUUUUUUUUUACUUUUGAUGCGUAAACGCCGUCCAUGUAACAACUAGACUGAUGUAGUUAUGUUAGGUUGAAUCUCAUAUUUGGUGUAAAAUGUCACUUUACAUGCAUUUUUAGUUACGAAUAAGUUAACAUUUUAUGUACUGAUAUUAUCCUCGUAUUCUUACUUAUUUUUUAGUACUUACAGUUUUUUUCUUAUACAGAUUUACCUCCUUAUUCAUAAACGCUCACUAAAGUUAUCAAGCCGACAAAUUUCGUUUGUCCCUUUCUAUCACACCAAUACGUCGGUAAGGGAUAAACGAACUUUGUCGGCUUGAUAACUUUAGUGAACGUUUAUGAAUAAAGGGUUUACAUUUUAUUUUCUGUUUAAUUUUUAUAAUGGUUUCUAUUUUUAUGAUGUAUUUUUCGUCUGUGCCGUCCAUAUUUAGACUGAAUGAAAUUGACGCGACGAAAGUUGAGGUUAUGACAUUCCCAUAAGUAUUUUUACAAAUCGCGUGAGCUAUGUACAUACAGUAGCAGCUAUCUAAUUAUCUAUAGUAUAGUAAGAACAAGAUAAUGUCACUAUAAUGGCUUCACACGCUUGGCACACAUACCGAAAACCAGCGGAUAUAACACGGUUUCCCCACGCUUGGCGAAUAUGUCAGUUUGUCGAACAUCCCAUUAGAUUAAUAAAAAAUCGACACUAAUUCCUAUCACUGACAAACAUAAAUCAAAGCAGAUUCGUGUUUUUUUGCUGUUUGCCAAGCGUGUGGUGGCGCCGUUAUAAAAUUCAUUAAAAGUAAUAUUAUUGCUUAUUAAUAUUAAAUGAUGAAUUGAAAAGCAAUCUAAUUAAAAUUUAAUUAUGAUAUUCCAGUGAUGUUAGUGGGUAUGACUUUAUUUCAAUUUUAGUUAUAAAAUCAUAUCAUCCUUUGAAUAUAUUAGUGUUUAUACAUAAUCACAUAAGUAUUUAAUUGUGUGGUACCAAAUAUGUUUGGAUAUUGUAUUAUGUUGUCCUUGCUUUUUCAUAAUGUGUAGGAAUGUCAAUUAGUUUUACUAGAAUUAACGUUAUUAUACGCGCAAUGACGGGGUUCAAGUGUACAAUAAUUCAUAGUCUAACGGAACUCAUAAAAAAUUGCACAAAUGGGGAUCAAAUUUACUUUACUUUUCUAACCACUUAUAAUACUUGUCUAUUGAUUUACUCAUAUUUGAGUAAAGGCUAUCUUCUUUAUAAGCUGCGUCAAAUCGUAUCAAAAUCCUUUCAUGUUUGUUUACUUCAUUGCUUUUUCUCCUGUGGUUAUUUUUGACACUUCCGAUUAUUAAGAUGAAGAAUAAAAUUAAUAUAAAGAAGAAGGCGCUUGAUUGUUUUACGCGAUGUAUCUACGCGACGUUUAAAACAUGUGAUCAACUGAAUGUAGGAAAAAUGACAAUAAGCUUACCCCUCUGCAUUUACCGCGUAAAACAAUGACCAAUUGUCUUUAAACUUACAGACAUUUUGCAGGAUUCUGAAAGAUUAGCUGUGAAUUAUGAUUUUGUUAUUAAUAAGAACACACAUCAGCAAGUAAUUGGUUUAUUGAUUAAGUUACACUUAUAAAAAAUUACAAUUGACAUCAGGAAAGCUUACAAUUUUGUACUUUACUGCUGUGUAAUAAGGCAAAUAUGUAAAUAUCUGUAACAUCAACUGUUAAUACCUAAACAUUUGUAGAAGUUGAAUAAUGCCCACAUACAGUAGAUCAUGUGCAAUUAAUAUGCAAUUAAACAUUGGUUGCAAUUUCUAUCAUCACACACUUUUGUGAUUUGAUCAACACGCUAAAUGUAUAAGGAUCUUUAGGGUAUAUUCGGAAACAGGAUACUUUUAAACGACAGUAUCUCGCGCGUGAGAUAUAUUAACAGACUUUUUUUAACCCCCGACGCAAAAACGACGGGGUGUUACAAGUUUGACGUGUCUGUCUGUCUGCCUGUGGCAUCUUUUUUUUUUGUCUGAAAGCUGUGUUAGUUGGGAGUGUUCUUAGCCAUGUUUCAAGAAAAUCGGUCUACUAUGUCGCGGCCCGACCGUUUUUUCUAAAUUUUAAUUUUGUGGUUGGGUUAUUAAUUGUAGUGGUGGUGCACUCGUGCUAAACCCGCCUACCAAUUAGUUUUAAUACAUUGAGACCAUCUUUUAGCUACAGCGCUAUCUGCUAUGUAGCGCUUGGUUUGUGAAGUCAACCGAAUUUAGGUGGGUUUUUCGCAACUAUCCCGUUUCCGAAGCACUUUUAAUUAUAUCUGGAAACUUGAAAUGUUUUCGUAAGCCGUCCAUUUUAUAAAGCUUUUACAUUUUGUAAUAAAUAUUUUUCAAUUCUUAA